rnacentral:rRNA from 1 species
GUGGCAAGCGUUGUCCGGAUUUAUUGGGCGUAAAGCGAGUGCAGGCGGUUUAAUAAGUUUGAGGUGAAAACCCUCGGCUCAACCGGGGAAAUGCAUCAGAAACUGUUGAACUUGAGUGCAGAAGAGGAGAGUGGAACUCCAUGUGUAGCGGUGGAAUGCGUAGAUAUAUGGAAGAACACCAGUGGCGAAGGCGGCUCUCUGGUCUGCAACUGACGCUGAGGCUCGAAAGCAUGGGUAGCGAACA